rnacentral:lncRNA from 1 species
AAAUUUCAUCACAAUGGCCAAUUCUAGAGUUCAAAUACUUCGUAAAACGUUCCACAAACGCCGAUUCUGCUUGUAAGAACUUCAUCUCUACUUUGUUUACAAUCAAACAAGACAGGAUUUCACCAAACUCAAGAAACUACUCUUGUUCAGAGCUCAAGUCAUGUUAAGCACCUUGCUCUUCGGACAACGAAGUCAAAACAGAAAAAAAAAACAAAAAAACAAAAACAAAAAACAAAACUGAGGAAAAGUAGGAUGUCGAGUGUUAUGAUACAGAUGACGGGUCAAUCGUGUGUGGAUUGGAUCACGAUGGAGAUGAACCUCGGAAGCAGGCAUCUGACGCCCGUGUGAGGCUGUUGGUUUUUUCGCAGACAUGAAGACCUUUGGCUGUGGGUCUAGUUACGGAGCUGUGAUAACGAGACGUGACAUCAAUACAAUUGGACCUGAGAGAAACUGAGAUUCGUGUAGAAUCACGGUGAAUGUAGGGUGGGUCUUUUCUGCUGUGCAGUACUACCACUACUUCUACUUACUACUACUAUCACAAUGAUCCAUCAUUCAAGAGAAGUCUCAACAGCACACAAUCAGACUGCAGCAGCAGCAAUGACGAUGGUGGGAUUGCAGCACCAGUGCAGUCGGUACCAAAGCGUGAACUCCAAGCUCCACUCCAUUCCAUUCCACUGCAUUGCACUCCACUCCAUUUCACUUCAAUUCAGGCGAGAGAGAGAGAGGGAGAGUACAAUGUGUAGAGAGUGAGGGACAAGAUGUGUGUGUACUCAAGGCUCUCACCUCAUUGAUUCAUUCAUGUCUCAACACCAGGAAUGGAGUGU